rnacentral:rRNA from 1 species
AUUGAACGCUGGCGGCAGGCCUAACACAUGCAAGUCGAGCGGAUGAAGGGAGCUUGCUCCUGGAUUCAGCGGCGGACGGGUGAGUAAUGCCUAGGAAUCUGCCUGGUAGUGGGGGAUAACGUCCGGAAACGGGCGCUAAUACCGCAUACGUCCUGAGGGAGCAAGUGGGGGAUCUUCGGACCUCACGCUAUCAGAUGAGCCUAGGUCGGAUUAGCUAGUUGGUGGGGUAAAGGCCUACCAAGGCGACGAUCCGUAACUGGUCUGAGAGGAUGAUCAGUCACACUGGAACUGAGACACGGUCCAGACUACUACGGGAGGCAGCAGUGGGGAAUAUGGGACAAUGGGCGAAAGCCUGAUCCAGCCAUGCCGCGUGUGUGAAGAAGGUCUUCGGAUUGUAAAGCACUUUAAGUUGGGGGGAAGGGCAGUAAGUUAAUACCUUGCUGUUUUGACGUUACCAACAGAAUAAGCACCGGCUAACUUCGUG